GGUACUGUGGCUUAGUUGGUCAAAGUGCCUGUCUAGUAAACAGGAGAUCCUGUGUUCAAAUCCCAGCAAAAACU
rnacentral:tRNA from 1 species